UACCGAGGUUUUCCUCGGCAGUUAACUGCCGCCGGUUGCACAAAAAUUUCGGCAGUUUACUGUCGAAGGGCAU
rfam:Medicago truncatula strain A17 chromosome 4, whole genome shotgun sequence.